rnacentral:rRNA from 1 species
UACGUAGGGGGCAAGCGUUGUCCGGAAUUAUUGGGCGUAAAGAGCGCGUAGGCGGUCCGAUAAGUCGGCUGUGAAAGUCAAGGGCUCAACCCUUGAAAGCCGGCCGAUACUGUCGGACUAGAGUCCGGAAGAGGCGAGUGGAAUUCCCGGUGUAGCGGUGAAAUGCGCAGAUAUCAGGAGGAACACCGGUGGCGAAGGCGGGUCUCUGGGCCGAUACUGACGCUGAGGAGCGAAAGCAUGGGGGAGCGAACAGG